GAUGAACGCUGGCGGCGUGCCUAAUACAUGCAAGUCGAACGGAGGUCCGCAAGGGCCUUAGUGGCGAACGGGUGAGUAACGCGUUGGUGACCUGCCCCGAAGCGAGGGAUAACAGACCGAAAGGUUUGCUAAUACCCCAUGUGCUGGUGGAAGACGAAAAGUCUGCCAGUAAAGCCGAAAGGCACUUUGGGAGGGGCCUGCGUCCCAUCAGCUAGUUGGUAAGGUAACGGCUUACCAAGGCGAUGACGGGUAGGGGACCUGAGAGGGUGGCCCCCCACAAUGGAACUGAAACACGGUCCAUACACCUACGGGUGGCAGCAGUAGGGGAUAUUGGUGAAUGGGCGAAAGCCUGAACCAGCAACGCCGUGUGUGCGAUGAAGGCCUUCGGGUUGUAAAGCACUUUUUGCCGGGAAGAGGAAGGACGGUACCGGUAGAAUCAGCCUCGGCUAACUACGUGCCAGCCGCCGCCGUAAGAC
rnacentral:rRNA from 1 species